UGGGGAAUUUUGCACAAUGGAGGAAACUCUGAUGCAGCGACGCCGCGUGAGUGAUGAAGAUCUUCGGAUUGUAAAACUCUGUCCUUAGUGAAGAUAAUGACAGUAACUAAGAAGCAAGCCCUGGCUAAAUACGUGCCAGCAGCCGCGGUAAUACGUAUGGGGCAAGCGUUGUCCGGAAUUAUUGGGCGUAAAGGGUACGUAGGCGGUUUAAUAAGUCCUAAUUAAAAGGCUAUGACUCAACCAUAGUAUGGUUAGGAAACUGUUGAACUUGAGUAGAUGAGGGGAAAGUGGAAUUCCAUGUGUAGCGGUGAGAUGCGUAGAUAUAUGGAGGAACACCAAUGGCGAAGGCAACUUUCUGGAAUCAAACUGACGCUGAGGUACGAAGGCGUGGGGAGCAAACAGG
rnacentral:rRNA from 1 species